UACCUACGGGGGGCAGCAGUGGGGAAUUUUGGACAAUGGGCGCAAGCCUGAUCCAGCUAUUCCGCGUGUGGGAAGACGGCCUUCGGGUUGUAAACCACUUUUGUAGAGAACGAAAAGUCUAUUGAUAAUACCGAUAGAUGAUGACGGUACUCUAAGAACAAGCACCGGCUAACUACGUGCCAGCAGCCGCGGUAAUACGGAGGAUGCGAGCGUUAUCCGGAUUUAUUGGGUUUAAAGGGUGCGCAGGCGGAAUGUCAAGUCAGCGGUAAAAUUUCGGGGCUCAACCCCGUCGUGCCGUUGAAACU
rnacentral:rRNA from 1 species